rnacentral:rRNA from 1 species
UACGAAGGGGGCUAGCGUUAAUCGGAAUUACUGGGCGUAAAGCGUGCGCAGGCGGCUUUGCAAGACGGAUGUGAAAUCCCCGGGCUCAACCUGGGAACUGCAUUUGUGACUGCAAGGCUAGAGUACGGUAGAGGGGGAUGGAAUUCCGCGUGUAGCAGUGAAAUGCGUAGAUAUGCGGAGGAACACCGAUGGCGAAGGCAAUCCCCUGGACCGGUACUGACGCUCAUGCACGAAAGCGUGGGGAGCAAACAGG